UUAAAUUGAAGAGUUUGAUCAUGGCUCAGAUUGAACGCUGGCGGCAGGCCUAACACAUGCAAGUCGAACGGUAACAGGAAGCAGCUUGCUGCUUUGCUGACGAGUGGCGGACGGGUGAGUAAUGUCUGGGAAACUGCCUGAUGGAGGGGGAUAACUACUGGAAACGGUAGCUAAUACCGCAUAACGUCGCAAGACCAAAGAGGGGGACCUUCGGGCCUCUUGCCAUCGGAUGUGCCCAGAUGGGAUUAGCUAGUAGGUGGGGUAAAGGCUCACCUAGGCGACGAUCCCUAGCUGGUCUGAGAGGAUGACCAGCCACACUGGAACUGAGACACGGUCCAGACUCCUACGGGAGGCAGCAGUGGGGAAUAUUGCACAAUGGGCGCAAGCCUGAUGCAGCCAUGCCGCGUGUAUGAAGAAGGCCUUCGGGUUGUAAAGUACUUUCAGCGGGGAGGAAGGGAGUAAAGUUAAUACCUUUGCUCAUUGACGUUACCCGCAGAAGAAGCACCGGCUAACUCCGUGCCAGCAGCCGCGGUAAUACGGAGGGUGCAAGCGUUAAUCGGAAUUACUGGGCGUAAAGCGCACGCAGGCGGUUUGUUAAGUCAGAUGUGAAAUCCCCGGGCUCAACCUGGGAACUGCAUCUGAUACUGGCAAGCUUGAGUCUCGUAGAGGGGGGUAGAAUUCCAGGUGUAGCGGUGAAAUGCGUAGAGAUCUGGAGGAAUACCGGUGGCGAAGGCGGCCCCCUGGACGAAGACUGACGCUCAGGUGCGAAAGCGUGGGGAGCAAACAGGAUUAGAUACCCUGGUAGUCCACGCCGUAAACGAUGUCGACUUGGAGGUUGUGCCCUUGAGGCGUGGCUUCCGGAGCUAACGCGUUAAGUCGACCGCCUGGGGAGUACGGCCGCAAGGUUAAAACUCAAAUGAAUUGACGGGGGCCCGCACAAGCGGUGGAGCAUGUGGUUUAAUUCGAUGCAACGCGAAGAACCUUACCUGGUCUUGACAUCCACAGAACCUUGUAGAGAUACGAGGGUGCCUUCGGGAACUGUGAGACAGGUGCUGCAUGGCUGUCGUCAGCUCGUGUUGUGAAAUGUUGGGUUAAGUCCCGCAACGAGCGCAACCCUUAUCCUUUGUUGCCAGCGGUCCGGCCGGGAACUCAAAGGAGACUGCCAGUGAUAAACUGGAGGAAGGUGGGGAUGACGUCAAGUCAUCAUGGCCCUUACGACCAGGGCUACACACGUGCUACAAUGGCGCAUACAAAGAGAAGCGACCUCGCGAGAGCAAGCGGACCUCAUAAAGUGCGUCGUAGUCCGGAUUGGAGUCUGCAACUCGACUCCAUGAAGUCGGAAUCGCUAGUAAUCGUGGAUCAGAAUGCCACGGUGAAUACGUUCCCGGGCCUUGUACACACCGCCCGUCACACCAUGGGAGUGGGUUGCAAAAGAAGUAGGUAGCUUAACCUUCGGGAGGGCGCUUACCACUUUGUGAUUCAUGACUGGGGUGAAGUCGUAACAAGGUAACCGUAGGGGAACCUGCGGUUGGAUCACCUCCUUACCUUAAAGAAGC
rnacentral:rRNA from 1 species